rnacentral:rRNA from 2 species
CUUAAGAUAAGAUUUCCCAUCUGAAAAGAGUAAGACCCCUUGUAGACUACAAGGUUGAUAGGUUGGAGGUGUAAGUGUGGUAACACAUGAAGCUGACCAAUACUAAUGGUUCGAGGGUUUGACCUAUAUA